UAACCCACGUUUGCAAUACACAACCACAUCCUGUGAACCUUUAUAUAAACACACAAAUUGUGAAGUUGGAGAAUAUCACAAAGAUCCCCCAUUCUUCUCAACUUUCGGUUGCACUCUAGGUCCAGAAGGAAGAUCAAUGGAACUUGAUCGUCACUGGCUCCUCCACAUGUGGGUUUCCACAAAUGCAUCAGGGUUGGGCUUUGCCACUCGAUCUACUGUUUUUGGUGGCUUUUUGUUAGCCCUAUUCGAAGUCUGAUUCUUCUUAUGUGCAACCAGGCUCGAAGUCUGAUCUUCUUCAUCGUCGUCUUUGUUUGAUCCAUAUCAAAAACCGAGAGCUGGAAGUGAUUGUUAUCCAGACAGAGUCACUUAGAAUUGUCAAAGCUGGAAAUGGAUGUGAAAAUGAAGGAAAAAUUCAUUUCGAUGUGUUAGUUUGUUGAUAUCCAUUAAUUACUAUGUUGAUUAUGUGCAAUGUUAAUUUUGAGAAGUUGGGUGGACCAGAACGAACACAAUUUCAUAGGCCUACAUCACACAUGGCUAACUACACAAUGUUAAGAUUUGGCAGCACCAAACCUAAGCUUUGCAAUAGGCAACAAGAAAUAAAGACGACAACAAGAUGAUCCAAGAAGAGGGUGUGGAGUCCAUUUCCGAACGUCAAGUGGCAGGAUCGUGGCUUACUUGGAUUGCGCUCAAUUGAUGAAGUUAGGCAACAUGUUAUUUCACAAUAACAAUUAUCAUAACAAAUUGAAUAAUGAAACUUAAAAAUACUAAUUCGGUUUUGCUGUCUUUUUUUAUUUUGAUUUCUGGGCCAUCUUUAGUAUUGCUCUUUGUUUGGAUUUCAAGUUGCAUUGCUUUUAGUGUGGCUGAUAAGCUUAAGCUGGUGGAAUUGUUCAAGCUACACUAUCUUCAUUGGAGGAAGUGGUUGAUAAACUUUGUCAUAUGAAGAUCCGGUUGCAGAAAAGAAGCAAAAGUUAGAGUUUGAACUGAGUCUGACUUAUGCCUUAAAGAUGGUGGAAGGGGAAGAAGAUAAACUGUAAAGAUGGUGGAAGGGGAAGAAGAUAAGCUGUAUCAAGCAGUCAAAUUUCCAAUUUUCGAUUCUAAUAGUGGCUACCCUAAAUUGUAUUAAGGCAUGUUUUAUAGAGUUUACUGUUUGAACUCUAUAAAAUUGUUUUUAGGUAGUCCUCUCUAUGUUUAAUGUGAUGUUGGUGAUAUAUGCUUUUCAAAUGUCAGCAUACCGUUGUCACCUUCAGGAAGCUUUCACCAUCACCACUAAGUGUCGCUCAAUGGCCACUGCACCCGAGAAUCCUAUGUGUUCAGUUCUCGAUACCUGAUUAUGUGCGUGUUUCCAAAGAUUGUAGACACCUCCUUUCUCAUAUCUUUGUUGCUAACCCAUCCAAGGGUCAUUGGCCGUUCCCACGAGAUAAGCUUAUGCAAGGAUAUGCAUACAUCUUAACCCAUCCCGGAACGCCUGUGAUAUUUUACGACCAUUUUUAUGAUUUUGGGCUCCUUGAUGUUAUAACGGGAUUAAUCGAGGCAAGAAAACGGGCUGGGAUCCCUCCGAUACAGCCUAUUAUUCUAUCAUGCUCUAUCACACAUAUUAUAAGUACUGGCAGGUUCCAUGUGGUGAAUUGCUAAUGAAAUAGACACGACAAUGAAAGGAGAAGAUUGUUACUAUCCAGUACUUUGGUUUCACGGGUUACAAGGAGCAAUGUACACCGAGACUCUUGCUUCACCAAAUAUUUAGUUCCAUUAAAUAUUAAAUAUGCUCUUUUGUUUUGUUCAUUUUAAUGUUUGGUUAUUUGUUUAGUGACAUUAUAAAUACGUUUAUCAUUUUCUUUAUUA